AACAAACGCUGGCGGCGUGCCUAAUACAUGCAAGUCGAACGGGGAAAGCUUUCGGGUGAGUACUAGUGGCGCACGGGUGAGUAACGCGUGGAUAAUCUGCCUUAGAGUGGGGGAUAACUAGUCGAAAGAUUAGCUAAUACCGCAUAAGACCACAAGAACUGCGGUUCAAGGGGUCAAAGGUUUUUCGCUCUAAGAUGAGUCCGCGUAAGAUUAGCUAGUUGGUGAGGUAACGGCUCACCAAGGCGACGAUCUUUAACUGGUCUGAGAGGAUGAUCAGUCACACUGGAACUGAGACACGGUCCAGACUCCUACGGGAGGCAGCAGUAGGGAAUUUUGCACAAUGGAGGAAACUCUGAUGCAGCGACGCCGCGUGAGUGAUGAAGGCCUUCGGGUCGUAAAGCUCUGUCGCAGGGGAAUAACACAAUGAAUGUACCCUGUAAGAAAGGAUCGGCUAACUUCGUGCCAGCAGCCGCCGUAAAAC
rnacentral:rRNA from 1 species